CACGCUAUUCUUUCUCCCAUAAGAAGGCAUAGGGCUGGGCACAUUCCGGGUCAAACCUGAAAUUUCACGGGUUCGACCCGAAAAAGCACAUUCCGGGUCGGAUUCGACCCGGAUCGGGUCCAACCCGAGUAAAACUUAGCUGAUAUGUUGUUGCUCGGUUCGGAUUUCGGAUUUGUAAUAUUCAUUUCGGAUUCGACCCAAAACCCGUAAUACAUGGGUAUUAUAUAAAUGAUAGUAAGGGCUUAGGGUUACAGAAUACAUACUGAUCUCUCAUCCGCCUCCUCUCUCUCUCGCUACUUCCCAUCCAUCUUCAUUCUCCGCCCCUUUCUCUCUUGAGACUUCCAGGCCUCUCUUCUCUAUUCUUUCUGUCUCUCAAAUCUCACUCAUCUCAGUAUCUCAUCCCUCACCUUUCACACCCUCUCUGGCCUCUGCCUCUCCCUCUCCCUUGGACUGCAAAUCGUACUCCUCUGUGGAGAUAGGCUUAGACUCCUCCACUUCUCCGGUGACCGGCGGUCCGCUACUCUCCGACGCAAAGGCCAAGGCCGUUAACACUCUAACAGGCUCUGAUUCUCUCACUUUCGAGUCUCGCCUUCGCUCAAUCACUCUCGGUAAGUCCCCUCAGACCUCUUAGCAUCUGGCUCUCUACAGAUCCAUGGAGAUCUCCAUUGAGGCUUUAGUGCUUUACCGUCUCUGGGCCUCUGGCCAUGAAAAUAUACUAGGAGAAAAAGAGUUCCAAUCAACAAGUUGUGACUCUUCUUGAGACUAUUGAGAUGUCCAUAGUCCAGAUUUGCAUUAGUUUUAGAUUAGCCUACAAAAGGGUUCAAAUGAGCAGACAAAUGAGAGUAGAAGUCUACUAGCAGAUCAGUGGAUCAAUAUUUGCUUAGGGGAGCAAACUAUAUCCAAUACAGAACACUCAGCUUUUCCUUCAAAUCUUAUUUUUUAUGCUUUGUUUAGUUUUGUCUUUUUUUGGUGAUUGUAAAUUUGAAAUUAACUAGCUAAGGUUUUUUGCCCUUUGGGUUGUCAUGUAGAAUAGUGUAUUUAUUGUUUUUAUUGUUUUACAUAUUUUAUUUUAUUA